rnacentral:lncRNA from 7 species
ACUGAAGUAAAAGAAACCUCUUAAAUCUAAGUGUUUUUCUCCUUUUAAAAAAGCAUAAUUUGUCAGACAUUAAAAUAACAAAAGGUCUUUGAAAAAGGAUUAUGGUUUCUGAUGUUUCACUACGAGAAUGGAUUUACUUUAUAUCCCACUGAUGUUGUAAUCUUGAAUUCUGAGAGUAGAGGAUGAGGUGCUCGUGGGUCUCCAGCAGGAUAUCACUGUGUGAGCUGAAAGAGUGCGAGAAGACCAGCCGGGCUCAUAGCGGGAGGCUUUAUGGAGCUACAGGAAAGCUGCGCCCAGGAUGGUGCAGGAAGUACGCCCAGCACUACACAAAGAAGUAAGCAGCAAUCACUGGCUUGCACAACCAUAGAAUCAUCAUAGAAUCAUAGAGUGGCUUGAGUUGGAUGGGACCUCAGGGAUCAUGAAGCUCCAACCGCCCUGCCGCAUGCAAGUCCGCCAACCUCCAUAUCUAAUGUUAGACCAGGAUGCCCAGGGCCCCAUCCAGCCUGGUUGACGAGUUCCUCACUCUGGAUUGAUUCCACCAUUCCUGUGUCUGCAUCUUUCUGUAAAUUAAAUAAACCCUUUUCUCU